rnacentral:rRNA from 1 species
UUAAACGGCCGCGGUAUUUUGACCGUGCAAAGGUAGCGCAAUCACUUGUCUUUUAAAUGAAGACCUGUAUGAAUGGUGAAACGAGGGCUUAACUGUCUCCCCCCUCUGGUCAAUGAAAUUGAUCUGCCCGUGCAGAAGCGGGUAUAUUUAUACAAGACGAGAAGACCCUUUGGAGCUUAAGACAAAGGACCAACUAUGUCAAAAACCAUAAAAAUGGCACAAAACCAAAUAGUACUGGUCCCAGUCUUCGGUUGGGGUGACCGCGGGA